GGCUCCGUGGCUUAAUGUUUACGGCUUCUGCCUCAAAAGCAGAAGGCUCAGGGAUCAAAUCCCGGUCGGUACCU
rfam:Culex pipiens quinquefasciatus supercont3.316 genomic scaffold, whole genome shotgun sequence.